rnacentral:rRNA from 1 species
GUGGGGAAUCUUGCGCAAUGGGCGAAAGCCUGACGCAGCCAUGCCGCGUGAAUGAUGAAGGUCUUAGGAUUGUAAAAUUCUUUCACCGGGGACGAUAAUGACGGUACCCGGAGAAGAAGCCCCGGCUAACUUCGUGCCAGCAGCCGCGGUAAUACGAAGGGGGCUAGCGUUGCUCGGAAUUACUGGGCGUAAAGGGCGCGUAGGCGGAUCGUUAAGUCAGUGGUGAAAUCCCAGAGCUCAACUCUGGAACUGCCCUUGAUACUGGCGAUCUUGAGUGUGAGAGAGGUAUGUGGAACUCCGAGUGUAGAGGUGAAAUUCGUAGAUAUUCGGAAGAACACCAGUGGCGAAGGUGACAUACUGGCUCAUUACUGACGCUGAGGCGCGAAAGCGUGGGGAGCAAACAGGAUUAGAAACCCUGGUAGUCC